GGGCACUUGGCCUGGCAGCCUGAGGAUGUAUGAGUGUGCGCACGAUUGUGAGGGAGUGUGUGAGUAUGUGUGCAUGCGUGCGUGUGUGUCCACCAACAUGAGUGACUGUGGGGGGUGUGCUGUGCAUAUGGGCGCGCGUGUCUGCAUGUGUGUGCACACUCAUUGUGCAUGUGAGUGAGGGUUCGUGCCUAUGUAGAUAAGUGUGUGAGAGGGUGUGGCUAUGUGAGUGCACGCAGUCGUGUGAGAUUGUUUCUGAAUGUGGAUGAGUGAGAGUGAUUGUGUCAGCAUGUCCUGAGUGUGUGACUGUGUGUGUAUGAAUUGACUUGGGUCUCUGAUGGUGAAAGGAUACACGUAAACACGAAUAUUUGUAAACAUGAGCAAGAGCAGGAGGGAGCCAACAGGUGCGAGAGUAUGUGCGCAUGUGUGUGCAGAUGUGUGAGCAUGUGCGCAUGCCUAGGGAUUCUCCCCGUCUGUGGGGUCAGCAGCACCCUGCCACCACCUCUCUCCCUCCUCUGUCCUUCCCUCCCUUAUCCCUCCUCUUUCUCCUUUCUCCCCUGCCUGCCACCCUUUGGGGACCCAGCUCUAGGACCACUCCCCAAUUCCAGAGCCCAGGUGGAGGUGGCUGGUUCAGGAAGGAGGGGCACAGUGGCCCCCAUCUCUGAGGCCUGCGUGCUGAGGAGUGGAGGAGGUGUGGCCUCCUGGCCUCCCUCACCCCCUGCUCCUCUGAAGCCUGGUGUGGCAUGGGAAUGAGGGAGAGAGAGUGUUCUGCUUCAGUGUCUGAGUCCCAAGUGUGUGUGAUUGUGCCAGGUGGGCGAGGUAGCUCCGGUGGCCUGGGUGCUGGCUCCUGGCUCUGCCCUGCUGUGCAGCCUGGAGCAAGCCCCUGCCUCUCUGGGCCUCAGCCCCUGCCCUGAGAAGGCUCCUCCUUCCGGUUCUAACAUCCAGCUCCCUGGCCCUCACCCUCUCCCCAACCCCAAGAACUUUGGCCUGAUUUCCCGGCUCUGCCAACGUGGCAGGGCCUCCAGUUGGAGGUUCUCGGCUGGGGAGAAGUCUGGAGGAGUGAGGGGGUUUGUUUUGCCUUUAGAAAUUGAGGAUUUUGGCUCAGGUCGGCGUGCUCACCCCGGACAGACUCGUCCAAUGGACCUCUGCUGCAGGGAGGGACAGAUCCUCCAGCCACCCCACCUGGGGCUGGCCUUCUAGGGGGACACUCAGUGCUUGCUCUGGGGAGCCUCCAUCUGAGGGGGGAGCAGCCCUGGCCCACGAAACCUUCAGUUUGAUGGGAGAGAUGAGUGAGUCACACUGGAUAAGCAGAGAGCUGGAUGUGUGCAGUGAAACAAGGACACCGUUCCCAGCCAGAUGGCACCUCGAGAUCCACGUGCUGACCGAGGGCUGGGCUGAAAGUAGAGCCUCAGUUCUUUGAAUAAAGAAAGGAAAAAAGGAAAGAAGGAAGGAAGGAAGAG
rnacentral:lncRNA from 1 species